rnacentral:misc_RNA from 1 species
CCUGCGGCGCCAGCAUGGCGGCGACGCCUUCCGAUGUCGGCGUCUCGGUUUGCAGAUUCGCUUCAAGGCCGAUCUCGCGCAGCGCACGCACCGGCUUCGGGCCGCGCGCGNAUAUCGUUUCGCUUUCGCAAUGGCCGCGAUGAAAUCCUGAUCGACGCCGAUGCGCCGCGCGACCUUCAUCAUGCGGCGCAGCCCUUCGCCGGUCAUCAGCACCAGAUCGUCGAACCGCUUGUCGAUGAACAGCCUGAUCCAGGCCGCGACCGGGGCCGGGUCCGGCGCGUCAUGA